GUCUCUGUGGUGCAAUGGGUUAGUGCUUUCAGCUGUUAACCGAAAGGUUAGUGGUUCAAGCCCACUGAGGGAUG
rnacentral:tRNA from 1 species